rnacentral:rRNA from 1 species
UACAGAGGUCCCAAGCGUUGUUCGGAUUCAUUGGGCGUAAAGAGCUCGUAGGCGGUUCGGCAAGUCGGGUGUGAAAACUCCAGGCUCAACCCUGGAGACGCCACCCGAUACUGCUGUGACUUGAGUCCGGUAGGGGACCACGGAAUUCCUGGUGUAGCGGUGAAUGCGCAGAUAUCAGGAGGAACACCUGAGGUGAAGACGGGUUGCUGGGCCAACACUGACGCUGAGGCGCGAAAGCCAGGGGAGCAAACGGG